CCGAGUUUAAAAAAUAAUUUUUAGAAAUGAAGCACAACAGUGAAAUAAUCCGUUUACGAAACACAGGUAUAUAAAGCAGGUAAAUAUGCUUCCAGGUUAUAAAUUAAUCACAAGAAUUCAAUCAACAGAAUUCACAAAUAAGCAACCAAGCAAUAACCAUGCAUAAACCGGUAAGGAUACCAAACCUAACCUAACGGAGAGUUUGGAAUAAUCUUACCAAACUACUGUUGACAAACAGUAAAUAUACUACCAAGUUUCUGAACCAAAUUGCCGUAGACGUCAAGCUAGGGGCAAAAUCGUCCAACUUUUUCUGUAAAAUCUGAAACAGAAAACAAACGACAUCAGUGCGUUCAGGACGUCAAAAUAAGUAAACUGCCCAAAAAAAGCUCGCCGGAGGUCCGGCCACGCGUCGCCGCCGGUCACGCGCCCCACCACAGGGUGCGCCUCCUCCUGCUGGUCAUGGUUCCAUGGUCCAUUUCGCCGGAAAGUCAAUAGGUUGGCCGGAAAUCAAGUUUUCAGAUUCGGUCAGAAAAUGGCAAUGGCGAUUCCUUGCUGGUUUUUGAUCGAUUUUGGACUAAUAUCACUCCUCCUAGCUCUGAUACCAGUUUGUUGGGGAUCUUGGGAGUUCAAUCAACCAAAACAUCAACUAAUAGACAAGAUUCAAGUCAAAACAAUGAAAAAUAAAACCGGAAGAAUACAACCCCUUCAUUUGGCCGAAAUCUGUCCAGCUGCUUCUUCUUCCUUGCAGUAGCUUCUUCACCUCUUAUGGCAGAUUUUUACAGGCUCAGGAACAGCCCCAUGCUAUGCAAAUUGCCUUCCAAAGAGAGAUAGAAAGAACCGGCAAAGAACCCCUUGAAAACCACCAACCAAGAGACCACCUUAAGGAACCAAAAAUGGAGGAAAUUUUCUGUUGUGCAACCCACGAAAAUGACCAGCCUGCCUCCCUUUAAAAUAACCCCCACCCAACCGAAGACACUCCUUCUUACACAAAAACGUAGGGUAAGUAGUAUGUUAGGUGAAAAAUUGGUCAAAGCUUCUCCCACAAGAUUAAAUCUCAAUCAUUGAUCUUCAUCCAAUGGUUCACAAAAACUGAAUAAAAAUGGGUUAAGAGAACCAUAUUCUCACAGGCUGAAGACAACAAAUUACUGUUAAUACACUUAGAAUUGUGAGGAGAUAAUUAUUCCUGUUGUGCUGCAGUUUUAUAUAAGAAAUUUGGGAUUCAAUAUUUCAAUUUCUUAUUCAUGUUAAUCGCAACCCGUUUCGGUGUUUCUAGUUACUUUAUUUCCCAUAAUUUAUUCCAAUUUUUUAGAUUUAAAUGUGUAUUUAUCUUAUUUUAUAUGUUUCUCGACGUCCAAUCUUUAUUGGAAAAUACUUCUUAUUCUUGAUCUUUUAAGAGUUUUUAUUAGUUAGCGAGCAACUUCUGUUGUUGUUUUCUUUGGAUACUACGACUUCUAUGUAUUGCAUUUUAUAAUUUAAAUUGAGGGCUCAAUUAGAUAUCCAUUGUCGGCAGUCAAAGUUUAUAUCCCUGGAUGUUUAUAACCAAAAAAUUUCCCUUACAUUGGCUCGCCCUAGGAUCUGGGUCAAGAUUAAGCUACUGUUUGUCUACGAUUCUUCAAAACUCAAUUUUUUCUAAAAUUUAUUUUUGAUCGUACAUUUUUACAAUAAAAUAUUUUGCACAUAAAUUCAAAAAUAUUAUCUAUUUUUUAACAACAUAUUCUUCAAAAAAUCACUAUUUCAAAACUCAUUUUCUCCUAAAAACUUCUUUUUAAUAGGCAGCAAUUGGAGGCUAAAUAGUGACUGAUAUAUACACAUUUAAUUAAUGUAGAAAUAUUUAUCUUAUGAGCUGGGGGAAUUAUUUCUAUUGUUUUGAAUUUGAGUUAUUUUACAGCUUUUUAGCUGCCAAAAUGUAUGAAAAAGCAUUCACACGAUCUAUGGAAAAAGUACCUUUUGGAAAAUACUUCUGUAAAUGUGUUUUUGUUUAGGUGAAUCUAUGUUUCUCAGUUUCUGUUCCAUUUUUAAUAUGUAUAAUUAUGAGGUAGACGGAUAUGCAGGGAUUUGCAUGUCACUAGCAUUGAGAAUUUGAGAUUUGGAUGGAAUUUUUGCGAACGUGAAAUUUGAUGAGGAAAAUGUCUUAUAUACAACCAACAAAAAGCAUUCAAAUAAGACUGAUGAUUAAUUAUAAUUGACUAAAGUCUAAAGAUGCCAAUCUAUCUAAGCAAAUGCGAGUGAUUUAAAACAUUGGAAGCAGAAUUGGUAGAUCAACGUAUUGUUCAAAAUUAUAAUGACCAUCUAAAUUUCAUUAUCAUUAUUUGCUUCAUUUGAAAUUUAUGGUGGGAAGUGGGAAAAUUUUUAAAAUUUUUCUCAUGAUAAAUGAAGUACGUGAUAAAUUUUCUCACGAAGGAUUGUUUUGAAUUAAAUCAGAAUUUGGGAGUGUUGCGUGUUUCUUGUUUAUUAUUGAAUAUUUUGUUACUGUAAUUUUGCUUUUUGUUAAAUCUUUUUUUUUUUCUAUUAGUUGAGAUAUAUACGUAAUGCUGCCUCCUCGCGCUUCGUCACCAUUCUAUUGUGUUGCUACUUGAUUCCACUCCUCCAUCAUCGUUCGUCAAAGCAUUAAGGUUAGUAUAGCAUUCUAAUUUUAAUUCCCGUUCGGCGGCUCCAGUCAAUUUAUGAUUUUAGCGAAUUUGUGAUUUGUGAAAAUGUGAUUUGUCAAUUGUAAAUUUGUUGAUGGAUAAUUAAUUUUUGAUUUGUUCUAUUAUAGUUGAUGAAUCUCGAGACAUUUCAAUGAAAAAGCAAAUGUCAGUUGUUAUUCAUUAUGUGAAGAAUGGGCGUGUAUUGGAACAUUUUAUUGGUGUUACGCAUGUUUCAAGUACCACAGCUGUUGCACUUAAGGCUGCAAUUGAUCAAUUUCAAAUCACUUAUUUUGAAAGAAAACCUAAGUGCUUACUACAUUCAUUGCUUUGCUCAUCAACUUCAACUAGCACUUGUAGCUGUGGUACAAAAAAUCCAAAAAUUAAAGUUUUCUUCACUUUAGUACACAGAUUGGUGAAUAUUGU
rnacentral:lncRNA from 1 species